GGGGAAUUUUGGACAAUGGGGGCAACCCUGAUCCAGCAACGCCGCGUGAAUGAAGAAGGCCUUAGGGUUGUAAAGUUCUUUUGUCGCAGAGCAAAGGGGAGGUGCUAAUAUCACCUUCAUAUGAGAGUAUGCGAAGAAUAAGCACCGGCUAACUACGUGCCAGCAGCCGCGGUAAUACGUAGGGUGCAAGCGUUAAUCGGAAUUACUGGGCGUAAAGCGUGCGCAGGCGGAUGAUUAAGUUAGAAGUGAAAUCCCCGGGCUUAACCUGGGAAUUGCUUUUGAUACUGGUCAUCUAGAGUUUGUCAGAGGGGGGUGGAAUUCCAAGUGUAGCAGUGAAAUGCGUAGAGAUUUGGAGGAACACCAAUGGCGAAGGCAGCCCCCUGGGAUAGAACUGACGCUCAUGCACGAAAGCGUGGGUAGCAAAC
rnacentral:rRNA from 1 species